rnacentral:rRNA from 1 species
GACGAACGCUGGCGGCGUGCUUAACACAUGCAAGUCGAACGGGCUGCCUGGUUUUCGGGGCGGGUGGUGAGUGGCGAACGGGUGAGUAACCCGUGAGUAACCUGCCCCUCCCUUUGGGAUAACGUCGGGAAAUCGGCGCUAAUCCCGGGUAUUCUUGCUCCCUCGCGUGGGGGUGUUGGGAGAGGUUUUUUCUGGUGGGGGAUGGGCUCGCGGCCUAUCAGCUUGUUGGUGGGGUGUUGGGCUACGAAGGCGGUGACGGGUAGCCCGCCUGAGAGGGGGUCCGGGCAGACGGUGAGUGAGACAGGGCCCAGACCCCGACGGGAGGCAGCAGUGGGGGAUAUUGCAGAAUGGGCGGAAGCCUGAUGCAGCGACGCCGCGUGGGGUAUGACGGCCUUCGGGAUGUAAACCUCUUUCUGUGCAGAUCAAGGCUCGUUGUGGGUUGAGAGUAUGCGCAGAAGAAGCGCCGGCUAACUACGUG